rnacentral:misc_RNA from 1 species
UGGAGGGUCGGUGGUUUCAAAUCCAACCUCGGCCCACCAAGCGUCGCGUGGCGAAGGUGGAGCGUGACCGCGAAAGGGGCCGUAGCUCAGUUGGGAGAGCGCCUGCUUUUGCAAAGCAGGAGGUCGUCGGGUUCGAUUCCCGUCCGGCUCCACCAAGUCUUUACUUUUGCUCUAUCGGGCCCUUGCGCUGCUUGAGAGCUAUGAAGCGCAAAAGACGCGAUCGGUUGAGAGAACAAGUUUGCUCGUCGUUUUCUAAGGAAAGCGUCGGGCGUCGUUGACAUCGUGAAGGAGGAUUCGAUCGGCCCCGCCGACGCUCGCUAAAGCCCGCAUGGGCGAAAGGCGAGUUUUUUGGGGACCGCGUUGCACGCGCGGAUCUCAAGGGGUUUGACGAUCGGAUCGACGAACAUCGUCUGACAUGAGCGCUCUUGCGUGAGCGCGUUUCGUCACGCCUUCGGGCGGGCGGGGCGUCCACUGCGCAUGAGCGUCUUGUUUGAGGAUCAAGCGUCUUAAGGGCUUCCGGCGGAUGCCUUGGCGCGCAGAGGCGAUGAAGGACGUGGCACGCUGCGAAAAGCUCCGGGGAGGUGCGAGCAACCUUCGAUCCGGAGAUUU